rnacentral:rRNA from 1 species
CACGUAGGGCGCAAGCGUUGUCCGGAAUUAUUGGGCGUAAAGAGCUCGUAGGCGGUCUGUUGCGUCUGCUGUGAAAACUCGGGGCUUAACCCCGAGCCUGCAGUGGAUACGGGCAGACUAGAGGUAGGUAGGGGAGAAUGGAAUUCCCGGUGUAGCGGUGAAAUGCGCAGAUAUCGGGAGGAACACCGGUGGCGAAGGCGGUUCUCUGGGCCUUACCUGACGCUGAGGAGCGAAAGCGUGGGGAGCAAACGGG